UACAGAGGGGGCAAGCGUUAUUCGGAAUUAUUGGGCGUAAAGGGCGCGUAGGCGGCGAUUCAAGUGACGGGUGAAAUCCCUCGGCUUAACCGAGGAACUGCCUGUCAGACUGGAUUGCUUGAGGCCGGGAGAGGCGAGUGGAAUUCCCAGUGUAGCGGUGAAAUGCGUAGAUAUUGGGAGGAACACCAGUGGCGAAGGCGGCUCGCUGGACCGGUUCUGACGCUGAGGCGCGAAAGCGUGGGGAGCAAACGGG
rnacentral:rRNA from 1 species